rnacentral:tRNA from 1 species
GUCCGGAUGGUUUAGCUUGGAUAUAAUUCGGCCCUGCGGAGGCCGAGACCCGGGUUCAAAUCCCGGUCCGGACG